rnacentral:tRNA from 1 species
GGCUCGGUAGCUUAGUUGGUAAAGCGCUCGUCUAGAGUUCUGGGUUCGAAUCCCAGCCGAGCAC